rnacentral:rRNA from 1 species
AGAGUUUGAUCAUGGCUCAGAAUCAACGCUGGCGGCGCGCCUAACACAUGCAAGUCGAACGAGAAAGAGCCUUCGGGCUUGAGUAAAGUGGCGCACGGGUGAGUAACACGUGGGUAUGCACCUUCUGGUGGGGAAUAACCCUGGGAAACCGGGGCUAAUACCGCAUAACUCCGAGAGGAAAAAGUCGCAAGACGCCGGAAGAGCAGCCCGCGGCCGAUUAGCUAGUUGGUGGGGUAAUGGCUCACCAAGGCUACGAUCGGUAGCCGGCCUGAGAGGGCACACGGCCACACUGGCACUGAGACACGGGCCAGACUCCUACGGGAGGCAGCAGUGGGGAAUCUUGCACAAUGGGGGAAACCCUGAUGCAGCGACGCCGCGUGAGCGAUGAAGCCCCUCGGGGUGUAAAGCUCUUUCGGCAGGGACGAUAAUGACGGUACCUGAAGAAGAAGCUGCGGCUAACUACGUGCCAGCAGCCGCGGUAAUACGUAGGCAGCAAGCGUUGUUCGGAGUUACUGGGCGUAAAGAGAGCGUAGGCGGUUCGCCAAGUCUGGUGUGAAAUCUCCCGGCUUAACUGGGAGGGUGCGCUAGAAACUGGCGGGCUUGAGUGUGGGAGAGGGAAGCGGAAUUCCUGGUGUAGCGGUGAAAUGCGUAGAUAUCAGGAGGAACACCUGCGGUGAAGGCGGCUUCCUGGACCACUACUGACGCUGAGGCUCGAAAGCGUGGGGAGCAAACAGGAUUAGAUACCCUAGUAGUCC